rnacentral:rRNA from 1 species
AAAGGAAUUGACGGGGACCCGCACAAGCAGCGGAGCAUGUGGUUUAAUUCGAAGAUACGCGAAAAACCUUACCAAGACUUGACAUCCCACGCAUAGCCCCGAAAAGGGUAAAAUAAUAGCAAUAUUACGUGGUGACAGAUGGUGCAUGGUUGUCGUCAGCUCGUGUCGUGAGAUGUUCGGUUAAGUCCGUCAACGAGCGCAACCCUUGUUUUCAGUUGCCAGCAUUAAGUUGGGCACUCUGGAGAGACUGCCGUGGUAACACGGAGGAAGGUGGGGAUGACGUCAAAUCAUCAUGCCUCUUACGUCUUGGGCUACACACGUGCUACAAUGGCCGCUACAAACAGUUCCGAACCGGUAACGGGGGGGCAAUCUGAAAAAAGCGGUCUCAAUUCGGAUUGUGGGCUGCAACUCGCCCACAUGAAGUCGGAGUUGCUAGUAAUCGCAAAUCAGCAUGUUGCGGUGAAUGCGUUCCCGGGUCUUGUACACACCGCCCGU